CUGAGUAGGAACAUAAAAAUAGGUUCAGACCAAGAGUUCAUCUGGCUCGUAAUCUUGUUUCUGACAGUAACUUGUAGUAGGUGGAUACUGAAGGGUGAUAUUUCCCUGCCUAGCCCCCUCCUUAUCUUUUGCCAGCUUUUAAAAAUAAAGGUGCAAUCUGAAAUUCCAUGCGAAGCCUUUGGCAUUUAUAUGUUUCUGCUGUCUAAAUGGUGCCUUACGCCUGCAGCUUUCCAGCAUUUGUGUCGUGUGCUGCCCAAGGAUUUAAACUGCGAACCAGAAGAUCUGUAUCUCUGAGGCAAAUCUGAUAACGGCGACACAAACUGUCAGGAGAAUUGGUGGGCCAGAGGAAUACCUGCCACUACUCAUUUGGCUGAAGAGGAAGAGCUUGCAAGCUCCCUGGUGCUGUCAGGGACUGUGGAAAUCCCUGUGGCCAUGGGGGCUGCUUCUUUGGGUGGUUCAGCAUUUGUAAGUGCAACUGCACUGCCCUGUGGCAUAUGUUUGUAA
rnacentral:lncRNA from 1 species